rnacentral:rRNA from 1 species
AGUCAUAUGCUUGUCUCAAAGAUUAAGCCAUGCAUGUGCAAGUAUAAACGCUUGAACCGUGAGACUGCGAAUGGCUCAUUAAAUCAGUUAUAGUUUAUUUGAUGGUGUUUACUACGUGGAUAACCGUGGUAAUUCUAGAGCUAAUACAUGCAAAAGGUCCCGACUGUUCGGAAGGGACGUAUUUAUUAGAUCCAAAACCAAUGCGGGUGUCCUGCCUCGGUGGGCCCCGGUACCUUGGUGAUUCAUAGUAACUUCUCGAAUCGCUUGGCCACCGUGCCGGCGAUGGUUCAUUCAAGUUUCUGCCCUAUCAACUUUCGAUGGUAGGGUAUUGGCCUACCAUGGUUGCAACGGGUGACGGAGAAUUAGGGUUCGAUUCCGGAGAGGGAGCCUGAGAAACGGCUACCACAUCCAAGGAAGGCAGCAGGCGCGCAAAUUACCCAAUCCCGACUCGGGGAGGUAGUGACAAUAAAUAACAAUGCCGGUCCCUAUAGUGGUCCGGCAAUUGGAAUGAGUACAAUCCAAACCCCUUAACGAGGAACAAUUGGAGGGCAAGUCUGGUGCCAGCAGCCGCGGUAAUUCCAGCUCCAAUAGCGUAUAUUAAAGUUGUUGCAGUUAAAAAGCUCGUAGUUGGAUCUCGGGGCCCCAGACGCUCGUUGCGUUGUCUGCCGGACUUGUCCAGUAGGCGCGUGGCGGUCGUCGGUCUCUGAGUCGGAUCGGUCCGCCGAGAGGCGUGCACUGACCGACGGCCCCUGUUGUCUCUCGGGUUGCCCGCCUGCACUUAACUGUUGCGGACGGGGAGUUCGGGACGUUUACUUUGAACAAAUUAGAGUGUUCCAAGCAGGCCGUUUGCUUUGAAUACAUUAGCAUGGAAUAAUGGAAUAGGGCUGCGUGGCCUGUUUCGGCAGGUCCUCGUGUCCUAUUUUGUUGGUUUUCGGGACCGCAGUCAUGGUCAAGAGGGACAGUUGGGGGCAUUCGUAUUCAGUUGUCAGAGGUGAAAUUCUUGGAUUUACGGAAGACGAACAACUGCGAAAGCAUUUGCCAAGGAUGUUU